UGUCGGGGCUUCCCCGCUAAUUUCCCUCUCUGCACGGGACAGCUGAACUAACGGUACACACACGCCAAGGCAGACGAAUGGCGGCAGCUCGGACUUUUCACACGGCCAUGGACCACGAGCCACGCAGCAUCCACAAUCUGACUCAAUCCGAAACGGAAAACCGAAAACGAAGCUUCCAGCCGAGCGCAGCCGAACGUUUGAGUCCUUUUGCAUAUGUGUCCUGUGUAUUCUGUGACUCGAGUGAAAGCUGCCCUGGAAUGUUUACAGUCGAGUAACGAGCGAGCAACAGCAGGACCUCUGCCAGCGGAGACGCCAGCAGCAGCCGAGGCAGCGUGAUUGUGGGCGUCCGUCGCUGGUCAAUGUCUCUAUACUAUACCUGAAAAAAUAAUGGGCCUGGACAGGGACACGGCUCAGAGCACUCAAAAAAAUAUAUAAAUAUGCUGCUUUCGAGGGAGUCACUGGAAUCUCUGGAGAUCUGUAUUCUCAUAUGCUGACAUACUUUAAGCCCAGAAGAAGUACGACUAUUGCAUACUAAGCCCUGUGGCACCAUUUAUAAUAGCGUUUUAAUGGACUUCUAAACGUUUCAGUUGACAGUUCUCCCAAUUAAGUGAAGAAUCUUUAUUUUUUAUAAUAUACAUAAGUUUCUAAUACU
rnacentral:sRNA from 1 species